rnacentral:snRNA from 1 species
ACGGCACUUGCACAUGGGUU